rnacentral:rRNA from 1 species
GAUGAACGCUGGCGGCGUGCCUAACACAUGCAAGUCGAACGAAGUGGCGGACGGGUGUAUAACGCGUGAGUAACAUGCCUUAGAGAAGGGGAUAGCCUGUGGACACGAAGAAUAAUACCCUAUGCUCUGAGAGGGACUUGCGGCUGAUUGGUGAGUUGGUGAGGUAACGGCUCACCAAGACAGCUAUCCGUAGCCGGCUUGGGGAAGUGGACCGCACCCUUGGGACUGGCACACGUCCCAGACUCUGCGGUAGGCAGCAGUGGUGAAUGGUGCACAAUGCGGGAAACCCGUAUGCUGCGACGCCGCGUGACUUAGAAGGCCUUCGGGUUGUAAAAAUCUUUUCUAUGGGAAGCAGUACCAUAGGAAUAAGGACCGGCUAACUACGUGCCAGCAGCCGCGGUAAUUC